ACAUGUGAACCCUACCGAUUUGGGCGGUAGACUACCGAUUUUGGCCAACUAAGACCCCCCUACCGCUCGGGGUUUACAAACUACCGAUAUUUCAUUUCAAAAGCAAUAAAAAUUCUACAACACAAGCGUUUCAGUAAUCAUGAUCAGUGUAAACAUUUAUUGACUGGUUUACCGAUAUCGAUUUGUUUUACCCAUCCACAGUCUGUCUAUUUCACUAAAAAUGUAACACAGUCUAAUUACCUUGACCUUGGUAUCGGCAAAUUUGUUUGUAUAUUGUCAGUUUUUCACAGCUUGACUUCGGGGUUUAUAAUUGCUGAUAACAGUAAUUAGGCACAUGCGAGGGAGAUUAAAAUCUGGGAUCAGAAUAUACCAUGGAAGCAAUGCAUUGGGUAUGGGUCUGACAACGCUAGUGUCAUGAUAGUCCGUUAGGGGACUAAUAAAGUUUCCCAAACAUCACAAGGUAUCACAAGGUAUGGUUGGCCGUCACAACUCUGUCUGGGAAGCAACCUGAUGUGUCUGAUAUGGGCUGUGUAUGCCAUUUAGCCAACACUUGUGUACAGUGAAGUCAAAAAACAUGUAUUCAUGACAUAUAAAGACAGUUCUAAUUGUGUAAAGUGUGAAAGUUGAGUAAAUUACAUAAACAUCAAAACACAAGUGCAGUGGGAAAAAAACAUGUAUGUUUUAUAAAGAAAGUUUUUUAAUGAUAACAUUGGGUUGUUAAUUAGUUAUCAUGCAAAAUAAAAUGUUUUUAAAGAA